rnacentral:rRNA from 1 species
GCAGCAGCCGCGGUAAUACGUAGGUGGCAAGCGUUGUCCGGAAUUAUUGGGCGUAAAGGGCUCGCAGGCGGUUUCUUAAGUCUGAUGUGAAAGCCCCCGGCUCAACCGGGGAGGGUCAUUGGAAACUGGGAAACUUGAGUGCAGAAGAGGAGAGUGGAAUUCCACGUGUAGCGGUGAAAUGCGUAGAGAUGUGGAGGAACACCAGUGGCGAAGGCGACUCUCUGGUCUGUAACUGACGCUGAGGAGCGAAAGCGUGGGGAGCGAACAGGAUUAGAUACCCGAGUAGUCCCUGUCUCUUAUAA